AGCGCAGGCGGUUUCUUAAGUCUGAUGUGAAAGCCCCGGCUUAACCGGGGAGGGUCAUUGGAAACUGAGGAACUUGAGUGCAGAAGAGGAGAGUGGAAUUCCAUGUGUAGCGGUGAAAUGCGUAGAUAUAUGGAGGAACACCAGUGGCGAAGGCGACUCUCUGGUCUGUAACUGACGCUGAGGCUCGAAAGCGUGGGGAGCAAACAG
rnacentral:rRNA from 1 species